rnacentral:lncRNA from 1 species
GUAGAAAUCCAUAAUAUUCAUUUUCUCCACAAUAUUACAAACGAAGGAGAAAUAGGAAAAAUUACACUAGAAGAGUGUAACAUACAACUUAUAAUGAAUGAAAAAAAAAAGUAUUGAUGAAAGAAACUGAAGAAACAAUUCAGUUUAUACAGUUUACGAGAAGAGUGUCACCUAAUUUUUUAAGUAUGGAUUCCCAGUCGAGUGAAAAUCAAGUAGCAAUUUCACAGGGUGAAACUGAGCCCAUCGAAAGAUCAAUCUCAAUCAAAUUAUCAUCCAUAUCUGAAAGCAAUUCUGCCUCUUCAUUUUCUGAUAGAGGUAUUUCAAUGAGAUAGUCUUCUUCCUCCACAUCCUCUAAUCCCAAUUCCUCACAUAAAUUCAAAAUCGAACUGCGCUCUAAAUUUUUUGGCCCCAACGAAAAUUUUUGGUCUUCCAAAAAUAUCAAAUUAGGCUCAAACAAACUCUCUCCAUUUUGCAACCUUUUCUUGGUGGUAGCCUCUUGUUCGAGCAGCUUAUUUGGUUGUACCAUUCUCUCAUAUUCUUUGCUUGACAUUUUCUUGCACACAAAAACGAUGUUCAAAAAUAGGAAACAAGAGGCCACUAAUUCGGAGCUAAGAGAGAAGUGGACAUACAAAGUUGAAAGAAGUGCAACAAAUAGUAAGGAGGCUCGGAAGAAACUAAGUAUGAUUGAUGUAAGAGGAUAAUGAUAUAUCAUUUUCUCAAAAUCAAGUAAAAAGUGAACGUUUUUCAGUCAUUUAAGAUUUCUGCUGAUGAAAAGUGGUCAUUUUUUUUCAAGACAUUGUAAAGAAACUAAAAAAAACACUACUUUGAUAACCACUAUGACUUACUAAUUUUUGGAGCUUCACAAAAGUUGUGACGUUUCUGCAAUAGAAGGAGAUGAAAUUUCAUUCCAUCUGAAAAUGUAUGAUGUGUUUGUUCUGAUUCUGCAAAGAUGGUGAAUACAGAUACUGAAACUUAAAAGAAUUCCUUUUCUGUGGAGAGAUAGAAGUGAGUGAUAAUAAUGAGUAAUGAUAGCCCAC